ensembl:lncRNA
AGAGGUUUGUCAUUGUGUUCAGAAAACAUUUUGCAGCGGUCAGUGUGGGCACUCUAACGAAGUACACCUGUUGGUCUUUGAGCUUUUAUUUGUAUCGUUUUCAGAACGUAAAAUGGACAGACGACAAAAUUUUAGCAUUCUUUUGUGAAACAUCAUGACACGGAAACCCACUGGUGCAAAUCCCAAGCUUGUGAGAGAAAUAUUUCAUAACGUCAACCAUCCAUCUUGUAUAUUCUCCACAUGUGAUUCCCAUUUGGUUCAUUCCGAUCACUACGGAAAAUAUUAAGGAGACAAUCCAGCAAAAAUUAUGAAUUUAUGAGCGUACAAAUAUUAGUAGGUAGAAAAAGAAAGAAAGAAAGAAAAAAAAAACAGCAUAUCAGCAAUAUAUGACAAUGAAUCAGUCAUUUAUUUAGAUAUGGGAUGCAAACGUUCGGGUAUAUGCAAUUUCUUAUUGUAAACAUCACAGAAAACUGAUUAAUGUUUUUACUAAAUGUAAAGUAUUGAGUUUUAUAUAAAUCUUUUACUACAAUCAUGUUUUAGGGUUGAAACAUGAGUCAUCGAAUCCAAAUGGAUGAAGGCAUAUGCAUUAUAGUUUUACAUUUCCCAUGUUCUGUUUUGCACAGGGACACCUUUGUUUCCAUGUUUUGAUGUUAUAUAUAUAUAUAUAUACACACACACACACAAAUGGGGAUGUGCCCAAAAGCUUGACUAGUGUGGAAAAUGUUUUGCAGAAAGCUAAUUUGUUUGUGAAUGUUAGAAUAAGUAUCUGCUGGACGUACAGGGUUAAUGUCACUGUCCAAUUCAUCACUAUGUCAAUCUAAUGCAUUAUCAUGUAAAAAACAAACAAACAAACAAAAAAAAAAACAACCACCUGUAUAUCAGCAUCAGAUGCAAAGCACGUGACAUCUUUCUCUGUCAGUGUUGCCGACAUAAGCAUUAUGGGUAUAUCAUUUCAGAGUACCAUGUAUCAAGGGCAGUAUUUAUUACAUUUGUGGAGAUCUGUAUUUUAUUAUCACAUUCUUGAUUUUUGGGUUUUGUCUAUGGUGAAUCCGAAGCACUUUAAAGUCUGAGAAUCACGGAAACCUAAGUAAGGUUUUACAGAAGCUUUUUAAUAACUUGGACAAUGGCAUGUUGUACAGGCCUAAAAUCCUCAAUUAACCGUUGAUGGAUGACUAUAAGAGCAAUCGGUUCCAGAACGAGCGGAAAUGUUGACUGGCAUGACCGGUUGAAAUGACUUCAUGAUGCAUAAGGAAAUAUAUGUGCACUCAAGAGUUGUAGACAGAAAUGCACUUGACCUCAACAUAUUAAACUCCCCAAGCAUGUCCCCGUGUUUUUUUUUUUUUUUUUGGUUUUUUGUUUUUUUUAAAAAAAAUAUCGACAACACAUGCUGGCAUCAAGCAGUAUCGUACUAAUGCUUCAAUUUAGUGGUUUAAGAGUCGGUUGUGUAUACUAAGCAUGAUCUUCAUAAAAUACAUCCGGUUACCAUGCUGUCACCACUAUUCUUAGCUAUUUCCUUUCUUCGUUUAGGCUAGCGCAGCAAUUUUUUAAAGAAAUCACGCCAAGGUGCUAAUCAUUCUCAUGUACCACGCAUUCAAACAGAAUAACAGAUCAGCUUCUUUCUCUUCUCUCCAAAUGCUUUGUGUAUGCAGCUGCCAGUGUAGUAAUGCUUCUAAUAGACUGAUAGCAAAAUUUCCUUUCCUAACCUCCCAUUACUAAUUCAGCAGGAAAAAGGACAAUAAGCACAAUUUUGCUGCUCACCUUUUGUUCGAACAUAUUGUAGUAUCUAAUUAAAAAUGUUAUCUGUAACUAUUUAAAUAGAAAACACUAAGUACAGUAUCACAUGCCUGAAUGCAGAAUACUUUUCUUAUUAUUAAUUGUGAAUUCAUCAGGUUACAAGUUUCCAUUUGAAGAGGACUUCAAUGAAUCAUUUUAAAACAGGAUUUUAUAUUCGAAAAGAAACAUGGCUUUUUCUUAUCUUGCUCUCUAACUCUAGUGCUUUCUUUUUUUUAACUACAUGGCAUGAUUUUGGUUGAUAUGAUACUUUUGGUUGAUAUGAUACUGUAAAUGUUUAAGAUCACAAGUUGCAGUGAUAUUUCAUUCUGAAAUUGUGAACUUUGUACAAUUUUUAUUAUGCUGGUGUUGACAUCUCUUAAUCAAUAAAAACUUGUGUUGCC